rnacentral:misc_RNA from 1 species
GAUGAAGAACGUAGCGAAAUGCGAUAAGUAAUGUGAAUUGCAGAAUUCAGUGAAUCAUCGAAUCUUUGAACGCUCCUUGCACCCUUUGGCAUUCCGAAGGGUAUGCUCGUUUGAGUGUCAUUGUACUCUCACACUCUCCGAUCCUAUGGAUUCGGGGAGCGGUGGACUUGGGUGUUGCUGCCUUUCCCUGUGGCUCACCUCAAAUGCGUCAGUGCACCUCUUGGUUGGACAUAGUACGGCGUGAUAAGUGUCUUCGCCGGCACCUCGCAAGAGGGUGGGCGAUCGGGAGCUCUGCGCUUUCAAACCGUCUUCGGACAAUUUCUGACAUCUUGACCUCAAAUCGAGUAGGACUACCCGCUGAACUUAAGCAUAUCAAUAAGCGGAGGA